rnacentral:lncRNA from 1 species
CGGUUUUUCAACCGUUAUCACAGUCCCAAACUUAGAAUUUUGCUUGUCCUCAAGCAAAACAAGAUGUAACUCAGUUUUCAAACAAUCAAUACAAUGGAUUAAUACUUUCCACAACUCUUUCGUCCCAGACAAGUAAUCACUCUCAGCUUAUCAUGAAAAUAUCAGUCAAGAUGUAUAGAUGCAUUACUUCCAUUAAACUCAAUAUGGUGUUCACAUAAUCAUAGUCUUUCCAACAGAUGCUAUUAUCAUGAAUGACCAAUUAACCAAGCAUAUAUGCAAUCAUGUAUAACUAGAACUACUCCUCACCAAGAAAAGUGUUUCACUCAAGCACACAAGUGUAUAUUGAGGUGACUCAUUCUCUUUACUAUCACAAUGUAACACAAAUUAACUUUGCCUUUCAUUUAACCACAAUCAAUCAUACUCACAACAAGUUAUCAUCACAAGGACUUUUCAUGGCUUGUAACGUGAUUGAGAUAAGAAGAACAUUGGUUUUUCUGGAUUACAAAAUCCUUGAGUUAAGAGAGUUAUUCAUAUUUAUAAUUUACACACAAACUCUCUUUAAACAACCAAUCUCACUUAUUCUCAACUUUCCCUUUUCUUUGCAUUGAGCUUUUCUUCUCAUUUUAUCUUUUUUUUUUCUUUUAUCUUUUCUAUCUUUUUCAUUUUCUCAUGUUUUGCUCAACACAUUAGCUCAAUGCUUAUCUUUUUCUUUUUCAACUUUCCCAACAGCCCCAAACUUGAACCUUUAUCAAUACCACACAAUAAUUCUCAACUUAACUCAAGGUAAAGAUUUGCAAAAGGGUUUUCUUAUACUGUUUAAAGCUUAGGUUCAAAAAGGGUAGAACACAUUGUGCUCUUUUUAAUUGGGACGAAACUUUUUGCAUUGGCUAAGAAAGGGCUAAAUCAAAAAUGGCCUUGAUCAUAUG